rnacentral:rRNA from 1 species
UACAGAGGUCUCAAGCGUUGUUCGGAUUCAUUGGGCGUAAAGGGUGCGUAGGCGGUUCGGCAAGUCAGCUGUGAAAUCUCCACGCUCAACGUGGAGGGGUCAGCUGAUACUGCUGUGACUUGAGUCCGGUAGGGGAGUGUGGAAUUCCCGGUGUAGCGGUGAAAUGCGCAGAUAUCGGGAGGAACACCAGUAGCGAAGGCGGCACUCUGGGCCGGUACUGACGCUGAGGAGCGAAAGCGUGGGGAGCAAACAGG